UGGCUCGAAAGAAGAAUUGAACUGUGA
rnacentral:piRNA from 1 species